CAAGUCUUGACAUCCCUCUGAAACCUCUAGAGAUAGAGGCGGCCUUCGGGACAGAGGUGACAGGUGGUGCAUGGUUGUCGUCAGCUCGUGUCGUGAGAUGUUGGGUUAAGUCCCGCAACGAGCGCAACCCUUGAUUUUAGUUGCCAUCAUUAAGUUGGGCACUCUAAGGUGACUGCCGGUGACAAACCGGAGGAAGGUGGGGAUGACGUCAAAUCAUCAUGCCCCUUAUGACCUGGGCUACACACGUGCUACAAUGGACGGUACAAAGAGCUGCAAGACCGCGAGGUGGAGCUAAUCUCAUAAAGCCGUUCUCAGUUCGGAUUGUAGGCUGCAACUCGCCUACAUGAAGCUGGAAGUUUUUAGCAAUCGCGGAUCAGCAGCCGCGGUGAAGACGCACCC
rnacentral:rRNA from 1 species